rnacentral:siRNA from 1 species
AAAUCACUCCUAAGUGUGCUUUG